rnacentral:lncRNA from 1 species
GGUUAACUCCCGCAGCAGCUCUGGGAGGGGUUGCUUUCAGGCUUCCAUGCAGAAACUGUAUUACAUUGAGGUGAGAGGCAAACUUAAGGGCUCUGUUUUCCAAAUCUCCCACAAGGCUGGGAAGGCCUAAACAGGGGGAAAGGAUUCAGCAAGCUCGCAAAGGGGCUUUGGGCUUUUCUUGACCUUGUCUAGGGGCUUGCCAUUUCACCUGAGCACCUUGAGGCUCAGUAAGGUACAGCCAUUUGGCCUCUCUUGAGUCUAGGUGUGAUGUUAGACACCAGGAUUCAGCUCGAAGCUCACCCCGGAAGCAGACCAGGCACCAUUGCAGAGCCUGCAGCCCUCACUGCAGAGAACAUGGCAGCUGCCCUUCCCAUGGCUGGUGUCUCCUGCUGCUUGGCACCCAGCUCCAUAGGGGCAGCUCAGCUCAUACCAGACAUGCUGUUGCAUAGGCUGAAAUACCAAGAAGCCACCAUCUGCCAACAAGCUGCUGGCAAGCUAAAAAGUAAAGAGUCUUUCUAAUUUUUCUUUCUUUUCACAAACCCAGCUUCUCCUGCAAGCAUGUUUAUUUUGGUGCUGUAUGGGCAGUUGCUUAGACACUUGCAUUAAAUAAACUGUGUGCGGAGGUUCAUGUUUGCUAACUGGGCAUUUUCCCUAUUUCUGCUUCCUUCUUCGUGUUACUCAGACAGAAAUAAAAUGGGAAAAGUGCAGUUCCUAAUGGACUCAUCCUGGGCUUGCUGACAUCCAGACAAGUGUCAAUCUGUGUGUAGGAAGAAGCUCUUGAGGCUCUUUGGGCUGUGCAGGUUUCUGCUGGCCAUGGCGAUGGCCCUGACUGCAGCCACCUCACCCCUGCGGAGCUGUGGAAACCAGGGUCAGACCCAACAAAAGGUCAGCUGAGUGCUGGUGUAGAAUGCUGGUGUAGAAUGCUGAGAGCAUUAAUGAAGCAUCCCCUGCAUUCCAAAGGGACCUGCGGCCACAGGUUCUUGCCUUGGGGUGUGUCCUGCGUCCCUACAGGGGCCAUACCUGUAAGGAAACGGCUUCACUUUGUUAACAAGUCCUGUUAACAGGAUUGUGGGGAAAAACCAUAAAACAUCUUCUUUCCCUUUGACAUUAUGACUGUGGAGCAUCUCAGCUAUAGGCAGCACAAUAACAGUAGCAAUGUUGAGUAUGUGGCACACGGCUAGCAGACCAAAGGGUUCUGGCUACAGGCGAUGCAGCCCCACAAGCUCAGCCAGGCGUGCCCGGCCAGCACCUGCAUUCUUGCUUUGUUGUUGUUAUGAUAUACCUGAGUUAGAGAAACUUGCAGGGAGCUGAUCUGCAACUGGACAAGGGCUUCAGACCCUGCAGAAAGAGCCAUCUCGGGUUACAGCAAUCAUGGCCUCCCCUCAGAUGUGCGAUGUUCAAAGCGCCGAGAGUCCUGGACUUUCCCAGCAGAUUCCUCUGGAAUGUAAAUAAUCUUCAGAUCCCCAACCAGGUGCCAGCAGACUCCUUGGGGUAGCUGAAGGGGAAGUCCUCAUGACAUAUGCGCACUAAAUAAUAAUAAUAAUGAUGAUUACGGUGCUUUUUUGUGUUUUGGUGCUUUUGUUAUUGUAUUUUUUUUUCCUUUUAUUUCUUUAGGGGUUGUGCUAGCUUGGGAAAAACAAGAGCUGUCAGUAGAGAAUGUUACUGAAAACACAUCAACUUAGAUCGGGAUUCAUUGAGUAUUGGUAACAUAGAGGUCUGGGCUAUGAUGCAGUGAUGAAAUGCAGGAAUGUUUCCUUUGGCUUGGAGUGGUGAUGUGAAGCAGACGUUUUAAAUGGAGGCCCUGGCACUGCAGGUAGAAAGCACCUCCAGCUACAUGAGUAUGAACACUGGAGAUGAAUGCAGCCACACGCAGAGCUUUGGCUCUGUUUUUACCCUUUACACAGAGAGGGGACUCAGCACCGGGGCUCUGCUCUUGGUUCUGCCUCUGCCUUCCUGGCUGACCUUGAGAAAAACACUUCACCGCUCAUGCUUCAGUUUCUCCAGAGGAAAAACUGAGGCCAGUAGGCUGGGCCCAGAGAGCAGUGGAAGCGCUGUGAUCCUCAUCAGCAACUUCCAAUGUGGCCAUGGGUGUGCUUACAUUGGCACUGCUGGCUGCUGGGUGUGACAGAGGCGUAUUGUGAGUGACAGAACAGCAGGGAUAGGGUAGGAGUCCCUGCCAGCUUCGCUCCUGCACCUCCUGCAAGGACAAUGGAAGUGCUAUCUGAAAGAUGCGCUGGCUGGUGCUGAAAUGUUCCUCAGGAAAUUCUUUGAAUGUCUUUCUUUAUUGUGAAACUCGCCAAGCCUCUGUGUCUUUAAAUGAUUUCUGUGUUGUUCAUCUCUUCCUUUUUUUCGUUUUCUUUCCCUCUCCGAGCAUUUCCUGUGGGCCUCCUGGCUGCUGCUUCCUUUAGCCUCUCCGUCCUGCUCUGACUUCUCCUUUCUCCAGUCCCUCCCAGCUGGCAGCCCUUCAGAGCCGUAUCCCACAUUUUGCAGUCUGUUGGCCAAGCAUGGCCCCUCAUCUAUAAGGAUGACUCAAGUCCUGCUGCAGUGUCACCAGGGACACUCCUUGUCCCUUGUGAAGCAGUUAGCCUCCUUUAUCCAGGACAUCAACCAGAAAAGCACAGUCUACUUCUCCAAGCAAACGUGAACAUUUUCAGAGGAAAUCUGCUUACUCCAUGUUCUUCAUGCUUUGUAUGUCCUACUGCAUAGUUAGUGCCGUGAUUGGUAGAAAAAGACACAGCCUGGGGAGAAAGUCUGUAUGAGCAUCUGUAUCUUUUGUUAAUAAACAACUGUGUGGCAGAAACUGAAGGAAACCUGAAAGACACAUUCCUUUAUAGCAGCUGCUCCACAGCCACCACUUAAUUCUUGCCACUUAGGCAUAGCAUCAGAUCUGGAGCAGCUGUGCGAGGUGUUUGAUGGUCCUGCAGAUGGCAUGAUCAUGCAUGGUGGAGGAAAGGAGUGUUUUUGGUGGCGGAGGCCCAGCUGCUUGCUGAUGGUCUGGGUUGGGGAUCCAGAGCUCCCUUGGCAGGGAAGAAGCAUGAGAAGGGUUCCCUGCUCCCAUUGCUUCACUGGGGCAGCAGGACAAAUGUGGCCAUAACCUCAUUUUCCCAACACAACCCAGAAUUGCUGUUAUCAGGAAAUAAGGGUGGUGACUGCAACGCUCCCUGUUUCACAACCAGAGAGAAACAUUUCUGCCCCCAUCUCUGACUAAAGAAAAACAUAUUUCCCACUUCUGGGGGUGAGGCUGAACCAAUAUAGCAUUUGAAGACACUUUUUUUCUGACCUCCCUUUCUGCGUGGGAGCAAACAUCCUUCUGUCCCUGAUGCGCCCUGCUCUCACUGAGCAACUUUCAGGGACAUCACACGAAGGACGGUAGGAAAACAUAUCUGACAAGGAGCUAACUCCUGGUGCUGACAAACAGUGAUGAAGUGGAA